AUGACCUUCAUCAGCAUCUUCAUCUGGAUGUUAACUUGUUUCUGUUUCAGAGAAUCAAGAGGUGAAGUGACCGUCAUUCAGACACCUGCAGUCAAAUCUGUUCAUCUACGAGACACAGUUACUAUCACCUGUAAAACUAACCCUGGAGUCUUUGAGAGCUCAGGUUAUCACUUUCUGUCCUGGUAUCAUCAGAAACCUGGAGAAGCUCCUAAACUCCUGAUAUAUGCUGCAAGCACCCUUCAGUCUGGAACUCCAUCAAGAUUCAGUGGCAGUGGAUCAAAAACAGAUUUUACUCUGAGCAUCAGUGAAGUUCAGACUGAAGAUGAAGGAGAUUAUUACUGUAUGAGUGCACACUAUAUCAGUGGCUGGGUGUUCACACAGUGA